UAUCACUGGAAUCCCUGAUGUUCAUAUUGUUUUAAAUUCAAAUGCUUAAUUGCUAUUUUAAUCUAGUUAUUUGCAUAAUAAAUAGUAGAUAGUAGAUAAAAAUGCAAGCUAAAUACUUGCUUUUGUUAAAUAUGUGUUUUCCAUUGUUUAAUGAAAUGCAUGUUGUUUAAGCUCCUUUUUAUGUAAUAAAUAGUUUUGAUGCUCAUAAAACCCUGAAAUAUUUAUAGUAGCAUAUGUUAUUGUUGAUAACCCUUCUGUAAAAUUUGUGGAACUAAAAUGGUGAUAGAACUCUAGUUAAAAAUAAAUCUUCAUGUUCUGCAAUUUAGCACUGUUUGUUUUUUUUAUAGAUUUUGUAGAUGUCGAAUGCUUCUCAAAUUUUUACAGUAGAUCACUUAUGUAGAGGAAAAACCUCUGUAAAAAUUAGAUGUUCAUAUCUUAAUAGAUGCUUCCAGAAACAUCUAUUCAAGUUUAAGAGCUAGUUUAAUUAUUAAUAACAAUUGCUACUUAGAAUGGUAGACUAGCAAAAUAAUUAAUUAUAUUUUUAUUCAGAAACAUGAUAACUUUUGAAAUGAUUGCCAAACAGUACCAACAUGACACCACCUUUCUGUUAUGAAUUACAAGUUAGAAUCUUAUAUGUGUACACAAUCACCAUCAAAGUAAAACUCAGGUUUUAAUCACAACCCAC
rnacentral:lncRNA from 1 species